ACGCCGCGUGAGUGUGAAGGUUUCGGGUCGUAAAGCUCUGUCAAGUGGGAAGAACCUGCAGUAUGCUAAUAUCAUAUUGCACUGACGGUACCACUGAAGGAAGCACCGGCUAACUCCGUGCCAGCAGCCGCGGUAAUACGGGGGGUGCAAGCGUUAUUCGGAAUCAUUGGGCGUAAAGAGCACGUAGGCGGCCUGGUAAGUCAGAUGUGAAAGCCCGGGGCUUAACCCCGGAAGUGCAUUUGAUACUGCCAGGCUUGAGUAUGGGAGAGGGAAGUGGAAUUCCUGGUGUNGAGGNGAAAUUCGUAGAUAUCAGGAGGAACACCGGUGGCGAAGCGACUUCCUGGACCAAUACUGACGCUGAGGUGCGAAGGCGUGGGUAGCAAACAGGAUUAGAUCCCUGGUAGUCCACGCAGUAA
rnacentral:rRNA from 1 species